rnacentral:rRNA from 1 species
AGCAGCCGCGGUAAUUCCAGCUCCAAUAGCGUAUAUUAAAGUUGUUGCAGUUAAAAAGCUCGUAGUUGAAUUUCGGGAUCAAUACGUCGGUCGUGCUUCGGUACGUACUGGCGUAAUUGAUUUCUCCCCUUCUGACGAACCAUGAUGUCAUUAACUUGGUGUCAUGGGAAAUCAGGACUGUUACUUUGAAAAAAUUAGAGUGUUUAAAGCAAGCUAACGCUUGAAUACAUUAGCAUGGAAUAAUGAAAUAGGACGUUCGAUCCUAUUUUGUUGGUUUCUAGGAUUGACGUAAUGAUUAAUAGGGAUAGUUGGGGGCAUUAGUAUUCAAUUGUCAGAGGUGAAAUUCUUGGAUUUAUUGAAGACUAACUACUGCGAAAGCAUUUGCCAAGGAUGUUUUCAUUAAUCAAGAACGAAAGUUAGGGGAUCGAAGACGAUCAGAUACCGUCGUAGUCUUAACCAUAAACUAUGCCGACUAGGGAUCGGAUGAUGUUUAAUUUUU